AACCUUUGCAACACUUCUGCAAAUACACUAACUCUUCAGAGAUUUAAAAAUAUUAGUGAUUUUCCAACUUGUAGUAAGUCCUGUGAAGCAAAAAUAUUAGUGACUUAGUGAAAUUUUUUGAGGCAAAUGCUUAUCCUGAUACCACAUUUGUAGUGAAUUUACAGUCCAUAGAUACAAACUACCAGGCACACAGAGCUGGUGAUAACUAGCAAUUUACUGGACUCCAAAAAAUAAAACUACCCCAAAGUACACAUGAUUUUUUUUAAAAAAAAAAUCUUUGGACAUUCCGCGGAGGCUUCACGACGACAUCGAUUCAUGUAUUAAUGUUCUGAGUAUUUUGAAGCUCAUUCGACAAAGUCGGUAAUCGGUAGGAUAUUCUACGCCAUCAUCUCUUAAGGAUAUUCUCCACUGUAAUCUCUCAAUAACUAUGGCACAGGUUCAUCUACAUAUUUCUGCUGGUGUCAAUUUUUGACAUGUAUCAGACCCUGCAGCAUUUCUGGAUGCUUAAUUGGACCCAACUGACAAAAGUACUUCUCUUUUUGAACCAAAAUCUCUACAGAGAACCAAUAAACUCCAACCUUUGAAUAGGGUCCAUUAGUGUCCCCAAACGGCUGUUGUUCUUUACGACCUUGUCACGCCAAUGAGGAGUAAUAACAAAGAGCUACAUCUGUGUGUCACCAUUUGAUCUAGAUCCAAUAAGCUCGAUUGCCUCAUAUUAAUGCCCAUCCAAAUUUUUUUUUUUCUUUCUUUUUAAUGUAGCAGUACUAUUCUUUGAACUAAUGUUCCAUCCACAUUCCCGUGAAACCAAUUCAAUGCAUCCAAAUCCACACUUCAUUAACUCCCAUCCCCCGUUCCCCGUGACGGCACUUAAUUCUCCUGAACCCGCGGGACUGGGAGCCUAUUCCCUUCCCGCCAACCCAAUCAUAUAAAU
rnacentral:lncRNA from 1 species